rnacentral:rRNA from 1 species
GCUUAUCACCAUUCCAGAUUGAAUAUACCCGAUCUCGUCUGAUCUCGGAAGUCAAGCAAUCUCGGGCUUGGUUAAUACUGGGAUGGGUGACCGCUUGGGAAUACCAAGUGUGAUAAGCA